CCUACGGGAGGCAGCAGUGGGGAAUUUUGGACAAUGGGCGAAAGCCUGAUCCAGCAAUGCCGCGUGAGUGAAGAAGGCCUUCGGGUUGUAAAGCUCUUUUGUCAGGGAAGAAACGGUGGAGGCUAAUAUCCUCUGCUAAUGACGGUACCUGAAGAAUAAGCACCGGCUAACUACGUGCCAGCAGCCGCGGUAAUACGUAGGGUGCAAGCGUUAAUCGGAAUUACUGGGCGUAAAGCGUGCGCAGGCGGUUUUGUAAGUCUGUCGUGAAAUCCCCGGGCUCAACCUGGGAAUUGCGAUGGAGACUGCAAGGCUAGAAUCUGGCAGAGGGGGGUAGAAUUCCACGUGUAGCAGUGAAAUGCGUAGAGAUGUGGAGGAACACCGAUGGCGAAGGCAGCCCCCUGGGUCAAGAUUGACGCUCAUGCACGAAAGCGUGGGGAGC
rnacentral:rRNA from 1 species